rnacentral:rRNA from 1 species
GACGAACGCUGGCGGCGUGCUUAACACAUGCAAGUCGAACGGAAAGGCCCUGCUUUUGUGGGGUGCUCGAGUGGCGAACGGGUGAGUAACACGUGAGUAACCUGCCCUUGACUUUGGGAUAACUUCAGGAAACUGGGGCUAAUACCGGAUAGGAGCUCCUGCUGCAUGGUGGGGGUUGGAAAGUUUCGGCGGUUGGGGAUGGACUCGCGGCUUAUCAGCUUGUUGGUGGGGUAGUGGCUUACCAAGGCUUUGACGGGUAGCCGGCCUGAGAGGGUGACCGGCCACAAUGGGCCUGAGAUACGGCCCAGACUCCUACGGGAGGCAGCAGUGGGGAAUAUUGCACAAUGGGCGGAAGCCUGAUGCAGCAACGCCGCGUGCGGGAUGACGGCCUUCGGGUUGUAAACCGCUUUCGCCUGUGACGAAGCGUGAGUGACGGUAAUGGGUAAAGAAGCACCGGCUAACUACGUG